rnacentral:rRNA from 1 species
UACGAGGGGGGCGAGCGUUGUUCGGAAUUACUGGGCGUAAAGCGCACGUAGGCGGCUUUGUAAGUUAGAGGUGAAAGCCCGGGGCUCAACUCCGGAAUUGCCUUUAAGACUGCAUCGCUAGAAUUGUGGAGAGGUAAGUGGAAUUCCGAGUGUAGAGGUGAAAUGCGCAGAUAUCAGGAAGAACACCAAUGGCGAAAGCAGCUCUCUGGGACGGUACUGACGCUGAGACGCGAAAGCGUGGGGAGCGAACAGG